rnacentral:ncRNA from 2 species
CUUUUUAUUGGGGAUGGAGUCCCCCAAAAAACGCCUUUUAAAAAGGCUGAUGACUCCUACCGCUUC